rnacentral:rRNA from 1 species
UGACGAGUUUGAUCCUGGCUCAGGAUGAACGCUGACAGAAUGCUUAACACAUGCAAGUCUACUUGAUCCUUCGGGUGAUGGUGGCGGAGUGGGUGAGUAACGCGUAAGACUGCCUGCAGUCUGGGACAACAUUUGGAAACGAAUGCUAAUACCGGAUAUUACGCGAGUUUCGCAUGAAAUUCGUAUGAAAGCUAUAUGCGCUGCAGGAGAGCUUUGCGUCCUAUUAGCUAGUUGGUGAGGUAACGGC